rnacentral:rRNA from 1 species
GACGAACGCUGGCGGCGUGCUUAACACAUGCAAGUCGAACGGAAAGGCCCUGCUUUUGUGGGGUGCUCGAGUGGCGAACGGGUGAGUAACACGUGAGUAACCUGCCCUUGACUUUGGGAUAACUUCAUGAAACUGGGGCUAAUACCGGAUAGGAGCUCCUGCUGCAUGGUGGGGGUUGGAAAGUUUCGGCGGUUGGGGAUGGACUCGCGGCUUAUCAGCUUGUUGGUGGGGUAGUGGCUUACCAAGGCUUUGACGGGUAGCCGGCCUGAGAGGGUGACCGGCCACAUUGGGACUGAGAUGCGGCCCAGACUCCUACGGGAGGCAGAAGUGGGGAAUAUUGCACAAUGGGCGGAAGCAUGAUGCAGCAACGCCGCGUGCGGGAUGACGGCCUUCGGGUUGUAAACCGCUUUCGCCUGUGACGAAGCGUGAGUGACGGUAAUGGGUAAAGAAGCACCGGCUAACUACGUG